ensembl:snRNA U6 U6 spliceosomal RNA
GUGCUCACUUUGGUAGCACAUAUAAUAAAAUUGGAAUGAUAUUAAAAGUUAGCAUGGCUCCUGCGAAGAAUGACAUGCAGAUUGGUGAAACAUUCCUUAAUUAA